UUUUUUUUUUUUUUUUUUUUUUUUUUGUCUUUUUGCCUUUUCUAGGGCCGCACCCACGCGGCAUACAGAGAUUCCCAGGCUAGGGAUCGAAUCGGAGCUAUACCCACCAGCCUAUGCCAGAGUCACAGCAACGCCAGAUCCCAGCCGCGUCUGCGACCUAUACCACAGCUCACGCUGCUGACCUAUGCCACCGCCACAGCAACACCAGAUCCGAGCCGCAUCUGCAACCUAUACCAAGCCUCAUGGCAACACUGGAUCCUCAACCCACUGAGCGAGGCCAGGGAUCGAACCCACAUCUUCGUGGAGACAACAUCAGGUCCUUAACCCGUGGAGCCACACCAGGAACUCCUGUCCUUUUAAUUUUAAUCAUCCACGAGAGAAGACUGACACCAAGGCGGAGGCCAGCUGACCAGGGAGGUAGAGGCAGGAAGGACACAGCCCCAGGCUAACGAAUGCCUUGAGCCACCAGAAGCAGAUUCUCCCCUUCAGAGGGAGCCCAGCCCGGCCGACACCUUGCUUUUGAACUUGUGGCCUCCAGAACCGUGAGACAGCGACUUUCGUUGCUGCUACUGCAACCCCCAGUAACUAAGGCAGGGCCACGGGGAGAAAUCACAGCAAUAACCCGCACUGCAGCCCCUCGCCCUCUCCCUGCAGCAAAGCACCCAGGGCUCCGAACCAGAGUGGCAGACCCAGGACACCGCCCUGUACUCCACCUAAGGCUGCCCUCCAACUCCUCCCAGCCCAGCGGGGUGGGCAAGGCUGGCGUGGUGACAGCAGGCAGACAGGAGAUGCUCAGAGAGGACGGAGAGGGCCCAGGACACCAGCCAGCUACCCUGCCCCCACGUGUCCCCACUCUGAACACCCACUCUUUCUGCUGAACUGAACCCAAAGCAACGCCCUGAGGACACAGCAGAAAGGAAAGUGAAAACUGUCCAUCUGCAGAAUUUCUCACCGCCACCCCCCCAACUCUCAAGCUAGUGAACUGUUUAGCUGACUGCAGAAAACCAGCAUCCUGGGAGAUGAGAGCUGAUGUCAGAGACCCUCAGAGAACCCUGGAGGCACUGGCCCUUGAUCACGGCCGCAGGCGCCAAGGCUGGGGUCAGUGGGGGCCGAUCCCACCCCAGACUCUCAGGUGUAUUAACCACAUAACUUGGGCCGAUUGGUAUCCCUACACCUGAGGCUCGGGGUCCCCAACGACAAACUCCAGAGGUCAAGGGCGGGGGUGGAGAAACAGGGCCCCUGAGCACCGCUGGUGGGAAUGAAGGCAAAGCAGCGCAGGCACCGCGGGAAACGGGUGGGCGGUUCCCGAAUGAGUUAGACCCAGAGUUACCGUACGAUCCAGCAAUUCCACUCUGGCCAUUCACCCCAAAGAACUGAAGGCAGGGUCUUCAACCACGAGGCGUCCACCCACUCACAGCCGCACUGUUCACGGCAGCCAAAAGGUGGCAACGACCAGCGUCCAUCGCACGAUGAAUGGAUAGACUGCGCCCCGUCCACACAGCGACUCUUACUCAACCCGAACCCGGAGGCGAUGCUGACACCGGCUCUUAUGUGAAGGAUGUGAUGCUGCGUGAGAUGAGCCCCGCAUAGGAGACCCCCAGGGCGGUCAAAGUCACGGAGACACAAGGGGAAGAGUGGCUGUGGGCUGGGAGGCGGGGGGUCAGUGUUGACGGGGACAGUUUCAACUUGGGACGACAACGAAGUUCUAAAGACGGAAGGUGGGGACGGUUGCAGAACAAUGUCAGAGGACUUAACGCCGCUGGGCUACAGUUACAGUGGUGACGUUUAUGCUCCGUGCAGUUUAUCGCAAUUAAAAAAAAAAAUCCAACAGGCCGAGCCUCACACCAUCAUGCGAAAGAAUGCGUGUACAGAGCCCGUGCACACAGUAGGCCCUCGAGCACAGAUUCCCUUUACUAUGAUAUCAAGAAUAAAAUGAGGCGCUCGUUAAUAAAGCACCAGGGGAUUCUAGAAGAGGGUGCCCGCAUCAGAAAGGACCCGUUAAAUACAGCUCCACGGCCAACGCCCGGGCCCAGGGGGGCCUUGUCCCCCCAGCCAUUCCUCACCUCUUAUUAACAAAGGCAAUAAUUAAAAAUGGCUGGAUUUAUGCAAAGACUCCUACCACCCCGUCUCUGCAGGUAGAGACGCCGCUUUCGCAUUAACCUCCUUGCAGGAGUCCCGCGCCCUCUGAUCCCUCCCCCUGAAAUCAUAAAACACAGGCGUUCUUAUUAUCCCGGGCUCGGCCAGCCCUGAGCAGCUCCAUGAUUUAUUGGCGUGCCCCUCGCCCUCACACGUGCCAGGGAGAAGGCCCGCGGGUGGGCAGUCUGGAAGCCAGAAAGCAAGGAGAAGAGCAGGCCGUGGCCCCCCAGACCCAAGAGGACCUGGGUUCAAAUCCCACCUCUGCCAGCCGUGCCAUUUCAGGCAAGUCACCUCACCUCUCUGGUCACAGACUUCUCACCUGUGAACUACAGAAGAUGUUACCUUCCUAAGAGAGACGCUGCCAGGAAGCUCAAAUGUGUGGGAAGAGCCCUGCAGAGAGCCUGACACACAGCGGGGUUGCAGGAAUGAUGACCUGGGGUGCAGACCAAUGACUCUGAUCAUAAAGAAAAUUCUGCCAAAGGCACCCACCCCACCCCGACCACACACCACCCCCCGGGCUCUCGCUAUUAUGGAAGAACGCCCGAGGAGGCGGUGGCAGUGUUGAGCGGGCUACGAACCCCCACAGGUAGAAUUCCGGGCAGCAGACCUCCACGCAGAGGGACCCCUGCCCGCCGAGGGUUUCUUCCCACUGCUUUUUGGAUUAAAUUGGCCAGCCUUGAUUAUGUUUGGAUAAACUUUAUUUCAUGGUUUAGACUUUUGGGGUUUGAUUGUGAAAUACAUACAGCACGAAGCCCCUCCGCCCUGCCCGGCCCUCGGGUUGGAAAGUCAAGUACAUCUAGUUCGCCCCCACCACCGAAAAAAAUUUUUUAAAAUUAAAAAAAGUAACAAAAACACCUCCAGCUGUAAGGAGGAUGCAAGUUGGUUUCUCUUGCGUCUAAGGAACUGGGUAGGAAAAUGAGGGAACAAGGCGUUCCCAUCGCGGCUCAGCGGUCACGAACCCGACUAGUGUCCCUGAGGACGCAGGUUUGAUCCCUGGCCUCCAUCAGUGGGUUAAGGAUCUGGCGUGGCUGUGGCUGUGACAUAGGCUCCAGCUGCAGCUCCAAUUCAACCCCUAGCCUGGGAACUUCCACGUGCCUCGGGUGUGGCCCUAAAAAGACCAAAAAAAAAAAAAAGAAGAAGAAGAAAAGGAGGGAAGUGACAUCACUCCCUGCAUUUCUGCUUGUUCCCAGGCGGCAACACACCUUGUCUGGGUCUUGUCCUCCAUCGGCACUUCCUGAGCACAGAAGGCAGGGCCCGGCCAAGCGCUGGGAAGACCCGAGAGGAUCUACACCGACCUGGUAGAGGAAGGAAUUUGAGGGUGGCUGGAUGACAACAUCUCGUCCCAUGCUCCUGGCCUCUUCUUCAACCUCAAAGCUGCCCUCCGGCGGUAUGAAGUCCAUUCUGCUGUGUCCUCUUAAGUCACUAACAACCCGGACCUCUUUGGGGCCAGCCGGGGCUACAGAAGGCUCACUGGGUCAGUGGGACCUCGUGGCAGAGGCCCACACCCACCUCUGUCACUGGCCCACACUGUGGAAGAAGCUGGUCCCCACGGCCGGCCUCGCCCUCUCCCCAGUAGACUACCGGGGCCGUCCCAGCUCCCGUGAGCCCAGUUGUUUAAUUUUCUUUAAGCAGAGAAAGGCAUCUCGAGGCAGAGACAACCCCCCGCCCCUACCCCGACAGCCCCAGGAGCUCACUUCUGGAUCCCUACAUCAAGGCCAGAUCAGGCACCAGCCUGACCGGGGAAGGAAGAAAGGAAAAUGCAGGGACCAUGUCUGCAUGUGGUUUCCCACAGGCCAGUGGCUUUUCUGCUGCCCACGUCUGAGCUCCCAAGUAGCCCAACUCGAAGCCAGAAGGGAGAGCUGAGAACAUGACUCCAGGGCUGGCCAGACCCAAGUUCCAGUCUCGGUUCUGCUGUUUGUGUGCUGUGUGACCCCCGGCACGUUGCUUGGCCUCUCUGAGCCCAGGUACUCUCCUGAGCAAAAGGAGGGGGCCGCUUUUCCUUAUGGGAUUUAUGAGGAGAGGUGCCUGAGCGAGGUAUGCAAAGCACCCGGGACAGUGCUGCACACAGUAGGCCCUUUAAAUACAGCAGCCAGUCUCAGGAGCAGUGGUGGCCACAAGCCUUUCUUCUCUUUCACGGAAACUAAGAAAACCUCCCAGGCAGGACUUUCAGAGAUGGCAACCAAGUCAGCAUCCGGGUACUUUUCAACAGCCUGGCUUUCUCCUUCCUGCCUCCCCCACGUCCCUCUGCCUUGACCUCCCCACAUGCAGGCAACCAGCUAAGGCCACCUCAGGAUGAAGGUCAGGUAUUGCUAGUGUCCCCAUUUCCCAGGUGAGGAGACUGAGGCUUAGAGAAAGGAAGCGGCUUGCCCAGGGGCCCAUAUUCACACCCAGACACCUUAAGAAUAAGGACCAAGCAUCUCUGGAGCCUCCCACAAGGCCUGCAGCUCCUCCUCCUACACGUGUCCACCAUGGCAUCUAAUUUCAAGCACAGGCGUUCCCACAGUGGUGCAAUAGGAUCAGCGGCAUCUCUGCAGUGCGGGGACACAGGUUCAAUCCCCGGCCCGGCACCGCGAGUUAAGGAUCCAGCAUUGCCACAUCUGCGACCAUACUUCGCAAGUGCAGCUCAGACCUGAUCCCUGGCCUGGGAACUCCACGGGCCAAGAGGCAACCAAAAAAGAAAAACAAAAUUUAAUUUAAUUUAAAAAAAUAACUUCAAACCUAAAUCCAUGGCCCGGAAGAGAUGCCUGAGAUGAGACAGGGCAGCCAGCGAUCAGAGCACAACAGAAAGCUGGGACCCCCGGCAGCUGACAAAAGUAGGGGUCCCAGAGGCUACGGAGGACCUCAAAGCAAAUAUUCUCUCUGUUGCCAGGUCUAUAAGCUACGACGUGGCUUCAGCCCGAUGAUGAAUUUCCUCCUCCAUUUUCAACAGAACGCAACAGGGCCAGCACGGCCCGGUGGGAGGAGCCUGAGGGACGCGGUCCCAGGCAGCUUGCCGCCCACAGCUUGUGGCCUCUUCCCCACUCUGCCUCCAUGUCCCCAUCUAGGUAAGGAAGGGGUUGGGUGAGAUGAUAAUCUCUGAUCCUAGAGCGUUAAAAAUUAACUCAAGCCUUCAGGUCACCCGUGGAGGACCCGCUUCUGGACCAUCCAUCCCCGCUUUCGGAUUCCCUUUCAAGCUACAGACGGUGGCCGCCUGGCUCUGAGACCCCGGAUGCCGGUGGCCAGGGCUGGUUCUUCACAUCCACUAACUGCUUUAAAGCGCUGCAUCCAGCGCUGCAUUAAAAAUUAAUUACACAUGCUAUUUUAUUGCCAGUGCAUAAUGUAAUGAGCACCAGCUGUGCUAAACAGCCAAACUCCUUUUUAAGACAGCUAUAAAAAAAAAAAAAAAA
ensembl:lncRNA